ACUGAACGCUGGCGGCAUGCCUUACACAUGCAAGUCGAACGGUAACAGGUCUUCGGAUGCUGACGAGUGGCGAACGGGUGAGUAAUACAUCGGAACGUGCCCGAUCGUGGGGGAUAACGAAGCGAAAGCUUUGCUAAUACCGCAUAAGAUCUACGGAUGAAAGCAGGGGACCGCAAGGCCUUGCGCGAACGGAGCGGCCGAUGGCAGAUUAGGUAGUUGGUGGGAUAAAAGCUUACCAAGCCGACGAUCUGUAGCUGGUCUGAGAGGACGACCAGCCACACUGGGACUGAGACACGGCCCAGACUCCUACGGGAGGCAGCAGUGGGGAAUUUUGGACAAUGGGCGAAAGCCUGAUCCAGCCAUGCCGCGUGCAGGAUGAAGGCCUUCGGGUUGUAAACUGCUUUUGUACGGAACAAAAAGACUCUUUCUAAUAAAGAGGGUCCAUGACGGUACCGUAAGAAUAAGCACCGGCUAACUACGUGCCAGCCGCCGCCGUAA
rnacentral:rRNA from 1 species